GCUGGUUGUUCUCCAGAUCGGUGUGUGCAUGGAACCGAGGAUGCUUCAGGCUUCGGGAGUCUCUCCGCCGCAUCCAACAGAUCUGCAGUGGUUUUUCAGAUGCAGCAGUAACGGAUGGGGGG